rnacentral:rRNA from 1 species
UACAGAGGUCUCAAGCGUUGUUCGGAUUUAUUGGGCGUAAAGGGUGCGUAGGCGGCGAGGUAAGUCUGGUGUGAAGUCCUGGGGCUCAACCCCAGAAUUGCACUGGAUACUGCUUUGCUAGAGGACUGGAGAGGAGAUUGGAAUUCACGGUGUAGCAGUGAAAUGCGUAGAUAUCGUGAGGAAGACCAGUGGCGAAGGCGAAUCUCUGGACAGUUCCUGACGCUGAGGCACGAAGGCUAGGGGAGCAAACGGG